rnacentral:rRNA from 1 species
GCUACCAGGCGUCGAGCGGCGGACGGGUGAGUAAUACUUAGGAAUCUACCUAGUAGUGGGGGAUAGCACGGGGAAACUCGUAUUAAUACCGCAUACGACCUACGGGAGAAAGGGGGCAGUUUACUGCUCUCGCUAUUAGAUGAGCCUAAGUCGGAUUAGCUAGAUGGUGGGGUAAAGGCCUACCAUGGCGACGAUCUGUAGCUGGUCUGAGAGGAUGAUCAGCCACACCGGGACUGAGACACGGCCCGGACUCCUACGGGAGGCAGCAGUGGGGAAUAUUGGACAAUGGGGGAAACCCUGAUCCAGCCAUGCCGCGUGUGUGAAGAAGGCCUUUUGGUUGUAAAGCACUUUAAGCAGUGAAGAAGACUCUUCGGUUAAUACCCGGAGACGAUGACAUUAGCUGCAGAAUAAGCACCGGCUAACUCUGUGCCAGCAGCCGCGGUAAUACAGAGGGUGCAAGCGUUAAUCGGAAUUACUGGGCGUAAAGCGAGCGUAGGUGGCUUGAUAAGUCAGAUGUGAAAUCCCCGGGCUUAACCUGGGAACUGCAUCUGAAACUGUUAGGCUAGAGUAGGUGAGAGGGAAGUAGAAUUUCAGGUGUAGCGGUGAAAUGCGUAGAGAUCUGAAGGAAUACCGAUGGCGAAGGCAGCUUC